CAAAAUAUAGCUUAUACUAAAGCACCUUGCUUACACCAAGGAGUUUCUCAUUAAUCUGAGCUAUUUUGAUAUGA
rnacentral:tRNA from 1 species